AGCGAACGCUGGCGGCAGGCCUAACACACGCAAGUCGAACGAACUCUUCGGAGUUAGUGGCGGACGGGUGAGUAACACGUGGGAACGUGCCUUUAGGUUCGGAAUAACUCAGGGAAACUUGUGCUAAUACCGAAUGUGCCCUUCGGGGGAAAGAUUUAUCGCCUUUAGAGCGGCCCGCGUCUGAUUAGCUAGUUGGUGAGGUAAAGGCUCACCAAGGCGACGAUCAGUAGCUGGUCUGAGAGGAUGAUCAGCCACAUUGGGACUGAGACACGGCCCAAACUCCUACGGGAGGCAGCAGUGGGGAAUCUUGCGCAAUGGGCGAAAGCCUGACGCAGCCAGGCCGCGUGAAUGAUGAAGGUCUUAGGAUUGUAAAAUUCUUUCACCGGGGACGAUAAUGACGGUACCCGGAGAAGAAGCCCCGGCUAACUUCGUG
rnacentral:rRNA from 1 species